AAUUUAUUUGCUUACAGGGACAGUCCAUCCCAUUGCAACUGAACUCAGCCUAUGUUGUACUGACAACAUCACAGCUUCAUUGGCAUAGUAAUUGAGUCAAGUCCAUGUGGGAGUUAAGCCUGAAGAAAUCGUAUCACAUCCUGAAGGAUGUGUCACUCCUCCCUACAACACGUGGUAUCCAAAUCCAGCCCUUUGAAGAUGAGGAGCAGGGCGUCUUUCCUGUAGUGAUUUUCCUAAACCAUAAAGCCAAGUGUCUUCCUCACAUUACAA
rnacentral:lncRNA from 12 species